AUGGGAGCUUUCGUGAACGGCCUCGCCGUAGCGGCAGUGGGCUGGUGGCUUGCUCCGGUCAUCACCUUCCUGCUGAAUAAACUUCUGGCCUACCUCUAUGAUGCAUCUCAAGACUUCAUAGAUAUGAGGUCUGGGACUAUGCCAAGACUCAGGUUCACGCUUGGGGAAGUCAUGGAGCAGAGGAUGCUGAUUAAAUUAUCAAAGAAAGAAUCCGAUGUGACCACCAAACUCAGCGGCCUGGACAGCUUGCUGAAGAAGCUCAAGGAUGCUCUGUACGAAGCUGAAGACAUCCUCGACCUCGUCGACUAUCACCGAAUUGAGAAGGAGGUUGGGAAAGCUGGGUCUUCCACCUGGCUGCAGUGGUGUUGGCAACGCCUCUGUGACAUCACCCGAGAAAAAUCAGCCUGGCUGCUGCAGCGGGCCAAGCAGAGCUUGUGCUGGUUGAGGGGAUGUUUACACAUCGCCGGAGAUACAUCUGCUCCGCUGCUCCAAUGGGUACAUGAGAGGUUCUGCUGGUUGUGGCCGUGGGUACGGGUCGCCGGACAAAGAACAGCUCCGCUGCUGCAGCUGGCGAAGAAGGGCUUGUGCUGGUUAUGGGGAUGCGUGACUGGACCUGGUGAACUACUACCAUCUGCUUCCGCGCCCUCGACUUCCUUGGUGCAGAGGAUCUCAUCGUGUUGUAGCUGCAUAUUCCACUGGUUAACAACCAAGACAACCAGGGCGAUGGAGGGUGCCCGUUACUACCGAGACUGGUCCUUGGAUGAGCUUGGCUUCACACGUUAUCAACAGGCUGUUGUUAUGGAAUCAAAUUGCAUUAUGAUGGGACCUUUAUAUAUUCUUCUAAAGAAAAAUAUGAAAAAGGUAGAAAAACUCAUUGAUGAAGCACAGGAAAUUUUUACAUUAAAAAACAAAGUGAAAGAAACUAUUGGGCAGGCGAACCAGCAAAGAAGAAACAAACUUGGCACGCUUACUGCAGAUGUUAGUACUGGAGAUAGACAGAAGACUACAGCAUAUCCAGUGGGAAAGAUAACUGGCAGAGAUAAUAUUUGUCAGGACAUAAGAAGAAUGCUUCAUGCGUCAAAAUCUGAUGUAGUUGGCAUUUAUGGCAUUGCGGGGUCUGGGAAGACAACACUUGCACAAUAUGUUUGUAACGCUAUGAAAGAGGAAGAGGGAGAGAAAGAGGAAAGGAAACGCCAUUUCCACCUUUUUAUGUGGAUUCACGUCACCCAGAAGUUUAGCGUGCAUGCCAUUUUCAGUGAGAUGUUGGAAGCAGCUUCAGGUAAAAAGGCUGAAUAUGCUAGCCUUGAUGUGAUGCAGAAAAAAUUAGAGCAUGAGCUAAGCACAAAAAGAUUCUUAUUGGUACUUGAUGAUGUCUGGUGCAACAAGGAUGCCGAUGAUCAAAAUCUGCAACAGUUGAUUUUUCCAUUGAAAUUUGGGUUGGAAGGAAGCAAGAUCCUAGCCACAAGUCGAAAUAAAGGUGCAUUUGCAGCUCUAAGUCCUGAAGUGACAUACACUUCUGUUCCAAUACCAGACUUGAAUGAUGAAGACUUCCGUGAAAUGUUCAUGUAUUAUGCACUUGGAAGUUCAGGGCUCCUUGACCCUAUGCUUGGAGAACUGGAAGAGAUUGGGGCUGAAAUAGCGAAGAAGCUAAAGAGGUUACCUCUAGCGGCCAGAACCGUGGGAGGACAGCUACGUAGAAAACAAGAUGUUUGGUUCUGGAGGAGUGUGCAAGUUAGGGACCUUUUGAACGAGACGACUGGAGCUCUUUGGUGGAGCUACCAGCAAUUUGAUGAGCAUGUGAGGCAAUGCUUUGCUUAUUGCAGUAUUUUUUCCAGAAGACAUCAUUUCAAACGUGAUGAGUUAGUACAGUUCUGGAUGGCAGGAGCGUUUAUAGAGACAACUAAUGUUGCACAGGAUCUGUAUGAUGUUGGUCAGAAUUACUUUGAUGAAUUAUUGUCAGCCUCAUUUCUGCAAUUAGGAGAGAGACAAGUGGAAUUUGGAUGUGAGGUUGAUUACUUCACUAUUCAUGACCUGCUGCAUGAUUUAGCAGAGGAGGCUGCUAGAGGAGAUUGCUUCAGAAUCGAGGAAGGUGUCACAGAAGAAGUUCCUCCAGAUGUUCGUCAUCUAUUCGUCGAAAGUUGUGAUAUAAAGAUGCUUACAGAGAAAAUAUAUGAAUUGCAGAAUUUGCGCACUCUCAUCAUUGAUUGCGAUAUAAAUAUUGGUUCAAGAGAUGAAAAAGUCUUCGAGAGAAUGUUCAGGAGGUUGAAGAAAUUGCGGGUGCUGGUUUUACAUUUCGCUGCAGGUGAUGGUAAUAUCAUUUCACUUCCAGCAUGUAUUGGUCUGUUAAAGCAUCUAAGGUAUUUUGGUUUCAAUGUGAGCGGUAGAGCAACAAUAAUUAUGCCAAACAGUGUUACCAAGCUUUACCACAUUCAGGUGCUAGACAAUUUUAGUAGCGGUGGUGUGGUUUUUACUGGUAGUAAAAAUAUUAGUCAGCUCAUUAACUUGCGGUGUAUAUGCAGCAUGGAAAACUUUCCAGACAUUGGCAGGCUGAAAUGGCUCCGUAAGUUAGUACGCUUCAGUGUAAGCAAGACACAGGGGUACGAGCUACGACAAUUGAAGGACCUAAGCAAGCUUGCAGGCGCGCUAAGUAUCACGGGUCUUGAGAAUGUCCAAAGCAAGGAAGAAUCUAUUGAAGCCAGUCUUGCACACAAGGACCGGCUGAGAGAACUUAAACUAUCCUGGGGUGAUACGAGUUGCAGUCCAGAAGUUGAAGCGGAGGUGCUUGAGGGCCUUUGCCCACCGAAAUAUCUUGAGAGACUAGAAGUUUGGAACUACCAUGGUUCAAAGUACCCAGAUUGGAUGGUGGGUCAGCAGAAUGGCGGCCCAAAGCAUUUGCGUAAUCUUUGGCUCCACAGCUGCUGCCGACUUGAACAGGCUCCUCAACUUUUUGAGGUCUUUCUGCAUCUCCGUUGGUUUAGGCUUUAUUUCAGCAAUUGGCAUUCCUUGCCAGAUAAUAUGGAGCGGCUGGCGUCACUCCUGUUACUGGACAUUAAUCGUUGCCCGAAUAUUCAAUCACUUCCAGCAGUGCCCUCCUCCCUUGAGAGGUUUUAUCUCAGGUCCUGCAGCGAGGAGUUGAUGAGGUCAUGCGAAACAAUUGGACAUCCAAACUGGCAAAAGAUUCAGCGCAUUCCUGAUAUUUCUAUUAUCCGUGAUUAA
rnacentral:rRNA from 1 species